rnacentral:rRNA from 1 species
GUCCACGCCCUAAACGAUGUCAACUGGUUGUUGGGUCUCUUCUGACUCAGUAACGAAGCUAACGCGUGAAGUUGACCGCCUGGGGGAGUACGGCCGCAAGGUUGAAAACUCAAAAGGAAUUGACGGGGACCCGCACAAGCGGUGGAUGAUGUGGUUUAAUUCGAUGCAACGCGAAAACCUUACCCACCUUUGACAUGUACGGAAUUCGCCAGAGAUUGCUUAGUGCUCGAAAGAGAGCCGUAACACAGGUGCUGCAUGGCUGUCGU